rnacentral:rRNA from 1 species
UACAGAGGUCCCGAGCGUUGUUCGGAUUUAUUGGGCGUAAAGGGUGCGUAGGCGGCGGAGUAAGUUGGGUGUGAAAUCCCGGGGCUCAACCUCGGAAUUGCAUUCAAUACUGCUUCGCUCGAGUACUGGAGAGGAGGCUGGAAUUUACGGUGUAGCAGUGAAAUGCGUAGAUAUCGGAAGGAAGGCCGGUGGCGAAGGCGAGCCUCUGGACAGUUACUGACGCUGAUGCACGAAGGCCAGGGGAGCAAACGGG